rnacentral:lncRNA from 1 species
CUAAAAUCUGCCAGAACAAAAUACAGCUAGCAUAUGAGACUUCCAAAUUAUGAGGGUCUAAUAUUUCUCAUAACAGAGAAUAUAGAAUUGUUGACUACCUCCCACCCAAGACCAGAUAUAAUUUACAACUGACAAAAUAUGGGUCUGUUACUCUGCUGGUGCAGAACGUGCUUCUAUUUGUGUUUCUCUGUAACAUGAACAUGAUUCUCGGAGGUAAAUGGCUGCAGCAAGGGAUAUCUUUAGGCAACAGAGUUAUUUAAGUGGCCAAGUCACAGUUGAGUAACUUUGUAAAUGAACCUGGUAGAGUCAACUCUGUGGAGAAGAAUAAUUGCAUCUUUAUGACCUCAUUCUGAGGUGGAAAGCCCCUCUCUCAGCCACCAUGGUGGGAGGCAUUCAGAGAAAGUUGUAUUUUGGACACUAGAAACAGAUAAGUUACACUUCCCAGAAGGAAAAUAUAUCUAUGACUUUGGAUGAGAUAACCUGCUUCAGAAUCACUUACUUGCUAGAAGAUUCUUUUUUUCCUCAGAGGAGAGAGAGAGAAGAAAGCAAGGAAGAAUGUAUAGAAGGACAAUAAUAUGAAUACAGAGGCAUAAUUCUCAUUCAUACCCAGGUUUUCCAUUUUUUCACCUAGCUAGGGGACUUUGAGUGCUAAAAGCACUGGAAUAUGGGACCACAUUCAGCAACUGAGCUUAUACACUAUGUACUAGAAGUUCUAAGUACUACGGUGAGAGCCACAAAGUCCUGGUGUGUGGGAUCAUGUGUCCCACUGAAAUACUAGACCAGUUCCAGUGACCUUGAAUCCAGAAGCAUUUGUACAACAAUUCAACCAAAUGCUGACACUCCAGUCUGAAAUCAGAGCCAAAAC